GUAGGUGAACCUGCGGAAGGAUCAUUAACACGUGAUACUCACGUAUUAAUCAACCGAGAAAUGUUAUAUCCCCUGUUGUGGAACAUAGGUGCGAUUUGGGAGCGGAAUGGUGCGAGGUAUCGAAAGGUAUACUCUUCAUCCCUUAUCUACGGUCACAUUUAGAACGCAAGUUCUAUUUCGAACACGAGCCCAUGCCCACAAACAGAAGAUGAAUUGCGACUGCUUAUUAAUGCCUGCGCCUUGGCUUGCAGCUCGUGGUGAUAUUAUUAACCCCUUUUACUAUAAUUUCUGAUGUGUAUGUUUGUAUUUAUUCCUAGUCCUUCGGGAUUGGUCGAGUUUAUAUAAAUGUCGUAUAAUUUUAAUACGAAACAACUCUUAGCAACGGAUAUCUUGGUUCUC
rnacentral:misc_RNA from 1 species